rnacentral:rRNA from 1 species
AAUCAACGCUGGCGGCGUGCCUAAGACAUGCAAGUCGAACGAUUAAGACUUCCUUCGGGCAGUGUAUAAAGUGGCGCACGGGUGAGUAACACGUAAGUAAUCUAGCUUCGAGUGGGGAAUAACAUAGGGAAACCGAUGCUAAUACAGCAUAAUGCAGCGGCAUCGCAAGAUGACAGUUGGUAAUAGAGCAAUUCGCUUGAAGAGGAGCUUGCGGCGGAGUAGCUAGUUGGUAAGGUAAUGGCUUACCAAGGCUACGAUUUGUAACCGGUCUAAGAGGACGGGCGGACACACUGACGGUGGAUAACGGGUGAGACUCCUACGCGAGGCAGCAGUGGGGAAUUUUGGGCAAUGGGCGAAAGCCUGACCCGUCAAGGCCGCGUGAGGGAUGAAGUAUGUCGGUAUGUAGACCUCGAAAAAAUGGGAAGAAUAAAUGACGGUACCAUUAAUAAGCUCCGGCUAACUACGUGCCAGCAGCCGCGGUAAAAC